AACGCGAAGAACCUUACCUACUCUUGACAUCUAUGGAAGCCAGCAGAGAUGCAGGUGUGCCUUCGGGAGCCAUAAGACAGGUGCUGCAUGGCUGUCGUCAGCUCGUGUCGUGAGAUGUUGGGUUAAGUCCCGUAACGAGCGCAACCCUUAUCCUUAGUUGCCAUCAGGUUAUGCUGGGAACUCUAGGGAGACUGCCGGUGACAAGCCGGAGGAAGGUGGGGACGACGUCAAGUCAUCAUGGCCCUUACGAGUAGGGCUACACGCGUGUUACAAUGGACGGUACAAAGGGCAGCGAAACCGCGAGGUGGAGCGAAUCUUAUCAAAGCCGUUCGUAGUCCGGAUUGGAGUCUGCAACUCGACUCCAUGAAGUUGGAAUCGCUAGUAAUCGUGGAUCAGAACGCCACGGUGAAUACGUUCCCGGGCCUUGUACACACCGACGCGUA
rnacentral:rRNA from 1 species